CCUACGGGAGACAGCAGUGGGGAAUAUUGCACAAUGGGGGAAACCCUGAUGCAGCGAAGUCGCGUGAGUGAAGACGUAUUUCGGUAUGUAAAGCUCCAUCAGCAGGGAAGUAAAUGACGGUACCUGAUUAAGAAGCCCCGGCUAACUACGUGCCAGCAGCCGCGGUAACACGUAGGGGGCAAGCGUUAUCCGGAUUUACUGGGUGUAAAGGGAGCGUAGACGGCAGCACAAGUCUGGAGUGAAAUGCCGGGGCUUAACCCCGGAACUGCAUUUGAAACUGUGCAGCUAGAGUGCAGGAGAGGUAAGUGGAAUUCCUAGUGUAGCGGUGAAAUGCUUAGAUAUUACGAGGAACACCAGUGGCGAAGGCGGCUUACUGGACUGUAACUGACGUUGAUGCUCGAAAGCGUGGGGAGCAAACAGGAUUAGAUACCCCAGUAGUC
rnacentral:rRNA from 1 species